rnacentral:rRNA from 1 species
GACGAACGCUGGCGGCGUGCUUAACACAUGCAAGUCGAACGGUAAGGCCCUUCGGGGUACACGAGUGGCGAACGGGUGAGUAACACGUGGGUGAUCUGCCCUGCACUUCGGGAUAAGCCUGGGAAACUGGGUCUAAUACCGGAUAGGACCACUGCCUGCAUGGGUGGUGGUGGAAAGCUUUUGCGGUGUGGGAUGGGCCCGCGGCCUAUCAGCUUGUUGGUGGGGUGAUGGCCUACCAAGGCGACGACGGGUAGCCGGCCUGAGAGGGUGACCGGCCACACUGGGACUGGGAUACGGCCCAGACUCCUACGGGAGGCAGCAGUGGGGAAUAUUGCACAAUGGGCGCAAGCCUGAUGCAGCGACGCCGCGUGAGGGAUGACGGCCUUCGGGUUGUAAACCUCUUUCAGCAUCGACGAAGCGCAAGUGACGGUAGGUGCAGAAGAAGGACCGGCCAACCACGUGCCAGCCGCCGCGGUAA